rnacentral:misc_RNA from 1 species
AACGCACCUUGCGCUCCUUGGCAUUCCGAGGAGCAUGUCUGUUCGAGUGUUAUGAAAAUUUCAACCCACCCCUUUCUUAAAAUGGGGAUUGGUGUUGGUUCAUGGGUGUUCAUGCCGGCUGCUUGCUCGCAGCGAGGCUCGCCUGAAAUGCAUAAGCGGUUUCACCUUGAGAAACUUGGCUUGACUUGGCGUGAUAAGUAUUUCGCUAAGGACAACCGUGCUCGGACAUGGUUGGCCAGUUCCUUUUUAGGAGAAGGCUUCCAAUAAACUUGUUCAAACUCUUUGACCUCGAAUCAGAUAGGACUACCCGCUGAACUUAA